rnacentral:piRNA from 1 species
ACCCUGGGUGAUCGGCUUCCUGUCUG